GAUGAACGCUGGCGGCGUGCCUAACACAUGCAAGUCGAACGGAGAUUACGGACGGAAGUUUUCGGAUGGAAGACUGUAAUUCUUAGUGGCGGACGGGUGAGUAACGCGUGGGCAACCUGCCCUAUACAGGGGGAUAGCAGCUGGAAACGGCUGGUAAGACCGCAUAAGUCGGCGAGACCGCAUGGUUUUGCCGGGAAAUGAGCAAUCAGGUAUAGGAUGGGCCCGCGCCCGAUUAGCCAGUUGGCAGGGUAAAAGCCUACCAAAGCAACGAUCGGUAGCCGGACUGAGAGGUCGGACGGCCACAUUGGGACUGAGACACGGCCCAAACUCCUACGGGAGGCAGCAGUGGGGGAUAUUGCACAAUGGAGGAAACUCUGAUGCAGCGACGCCGCGUGAGUGAAGAAGUAUUUCGGUAUGUAAAGCUCUAUCAGCAGGGAAGAUGAUGACGGUACCUGACUAAGAAGCCCCGGCUAACUACGUG
rnacentral:rRNA from 1 species